rnacentral:lncRNA from 1 species
CAGAACUUCUGGGGGGCAGGGAUGCCCCUCUGGUACUAUAGGGGAGAGGGUUCGGCUGGCUGAGACCAUGGGUGAAACUGCAGGAAAACACUAGUUUUUCGAGCUAACGAAAGCCGAACCCCUGCCCUGCAGUCGCGCGACCGAACCAGUCUGUUUUUGGGGCCAAAACACAUGGAAUCUGCAUGUUACGUGGAGUUGCAGCCUACUGAGGAAAGCCGGUCCCGAGGCGCCAGUCGCGCGACCGAACCUGCGUUUUUGGGCAAAAACACACGAAAUCUGCAUAUUACGUGGACUUGGAACCUACUGACGAAAGCCGAACCCGGGGCGGCAGUCGCGCGACCGAACCUGCGUUUUUGGGCAAAAACCACAUGGAAUCUGCAUAUUACGUGGAUUUUGGGGCCUUUUCAAAAACGCAGUAGAGAACCGUACGAAAAAUCUGCAGAACUUCUGGGGGGCAGGGAUGCCCCUCUGGUACUAUAGGGGAGAGGGUUCUGCUGGCUGAGACCAUGGGUGAAACUGCAGGAAAACACUAGUUUUUCG